CUGAAUGUGUUUUGCUUGGGGUAGAGGCGUGUUAACAUUCUGAGUUUCAUCAGAUAUAUUUUUUAUUUGUUCAAAAUCUGCAGAAAAUCUGCGGAGGUGUCAACGGAAUUCCAUGUGGGCCUGCUUCUACGCUAUUGUGGGCCAGAGAGGAAUGGUAGGGGAUCCGGUGAGGGCCCUCAGGACUCCCACCUCAUGGGCCCCCUGCUCCAUUCUGCUGCGGCUGUAAGGCAAGAUUAUUCUGCUGUUUAGUUCCACCAGAUGCGGCAGCGCCACUGGAUGGGCACUGUCUGGCCCUGAUGAGCAGAUCUAAGAGGGAUUAGUGGGCUGUUGUGGUGGAUCGGCAAGAACAGUGGGAGGCUGUCCACACACAGCUGUGUGUUUGUGUGUUUCAUAAUGCUCUGGCCUCUGGCCUGUAUCUGGCUUUGGCUCCAACCCUGAACCACCUUUCCCUCCCACUGACCUCACAGUUCAGGGAGCUCUCGGACUACAGACAGCAGGAACUCCGAACUUUCUGGAACAGCAUGAAAGCUUUUAGAGAAACACGAUUCUCCCUCAAGGAUUGUGGGAGAGAUGUGCUCAGACAGACAUACCGUAUCAUCUGAAAGUGUUUUUUUUUGGCUGCAAUUGUUUGGGAUUUCUACAGCUUUACAAACAUGUAAAGCAUUCAUCAACAAAUCAUUUUAGAAAGUAUUUUUUGCCGAAGAAAGCCAUUUUUGUAUCAAUACUAUAUUAAAGGUAUAUUUCCUGAA